CCUAUGGCGUGUCUUACGAUAAUUUCGGAUUUUGAUAUAUUUCACUCGCAAAAACGUAAUAUUCUGCCUGAAUGUGGUGUGUAAUCCUGCCUGGCACAACUUGUACAUGGCCAGUGAAAAACCACCAGUUUUGUCUAAAACCGGGAUCGACUCGC